GAGAUAGAGGUUGCGGGGGACAAGAGUAGGCACACCGACGCAUCAGGAAGCGGAAGACGUGUGAGAAAAGGGGACUCCGCCGAAGGGUCCGGGACCUGAGACCGGAUUCCUGGGCAUGCGGCCAAGAACCGUAUGACUGUCAUCGAGAGGUGGGGCGCUAUCCG
rnacentral:ncRNA from 1 species